UUUUUUUAGUAGAAACUC
rnacentral:snRNA from 1 species